rnacentral:rRNA from 1 species
GAAACUCAAAGGAAUUGACGGGGACCCGCACAAGUAGCGGAGCAUGUGGUUUAAUUCGAAGCAACGCGAAGAACCUUACCUAAGCUUGACAUCCCAAUGACAUCUCCUUAAUCGGAGAGUUCCCUUCGGGGACAUUGGUGACAGGUGGUGCAUGGUUGUCGUCAGCUCGUGUCGUGAGAUGUUGGGUUAAGUCCCGCAACGAGCGCAACCCUUGUCUUUAGUUGCCAUCAUUAAGUUGGGCACUCUAGAGAGACUGCCAGGGAUAACCUGGAGGAAGGUGGGGAUGACGUCAAAUCAUCAUGCCCCUUAUGCUUAGGGCUACACACGUGCUACAAUGGGUAGUACAGAGGGUUGCCAAGCCGUAAGGUGGAGCUAAUCCCUUAAAGCUACUCUCAGUUCGGAUUGUAGGCUGAAACUCGCCUACAUGAAGCUGGAGUUACUAGUAAUCGCAGAUCAGAAUGCUGCGGUGAAUGCGUUCCCGGGUCUUGUACACACCGCCCGUCACACCACGGGAGUUGGAGACGCCCGAAGCCGAUUAUCUAACCU